AUAAAACAGUUGUGGAGUCUUUUGCAUGAAGUUUCUUGCUGAAUGGGACGGUGGCAAUACCGAAAUGGAAUCGUUCAAAGAUUGGUCCAAAACAACGAGAAAGCAUGGGAAGAAUGUGAGGGUUGCAAAAACUAUGGAUUUGAGAAUUGGAAUUUGUUCAACAAUAUUAAGCGAUUCAAGCAAUAGCAAAAGAAACUAUGUGGAGAAGGCUGCAACCUCAUACU
rnacentral:pre_miRNA from 1 species